AUGAAAUCUUCGAGAAAAGCUACAAAAUUGAGACAACCCAAGCCUAAAGAGCAUGGUGGAGAGCAAAAUGCAGCCGCAGGGCAGGUUGAGACAAACCAACAAGGACUUUCUUUGGAGAGGAAGAUCGAACUCGAGAAGCAGAGACGAUUUACCCUGAUCAACGAGGUCAACCGCUUAACGGCUGCAGUUAAAGAAAGACAGGACAAGCUAGAAGGUUUAAAGAAAGUGAUAGCCCUUCAGCACUCAGAGAAAAACACAGAAGAAACAGAGAAACAAUAUCAGGAAAUUCAUCAGCUGGAGAUCAGCCUGAAGAGGAUGAAAGAUAGGACGGAGGAGAAGAGAAAAGACAUCGCUGUUGCUAGAUCAGUUUCUGCAAACCUGAACUUGAAAAGUUCAGCUUUGGAUAAGGAGCUGAAGCAAAGGGAACGCCAGCUCGGACUGAUGGAACUGGAGAAAGCAAAAAAGCAGCGCUGCUUGGAUUUGGCUGCUGCCAAAAGCAAAGAGGUCCAGAUGAAAAACGAGGCUCUGGAACAGAGAAAGGAAAUGAGUGCUGAGAUGCAGAAGCUCCUCGCUCAUCAGAAGGAGGCCCAAACUGGUUUACAGGCCAUGAGACAGAGUGUCCUGAUCCCAGGGAAUAAUCUGGCAGAAGCUGAUGUCCAACUGCUAGAGAAUGGCUUGGAGGACACGACAGACUUUUUGGACUUCGGUGAAAUUAAGCAACUCACGGAAGCGUACCUCAUCAAUGAAGACAUCAGAGAGAAGCAAUACAUCCUGAAAAACCUGAAGCUUGACUACAUGAUCCUCCAGCACAGUGACAAAGCAAAGUGGCAAAGUUCCGACAAUGUCACGGAAGAGGGAAUGAUGGAGCUGAAUAAGGAAGUGCACCGUGUGGAAGACCUGAGGGCUGCUCUGAAGGAGCCCCAAGCUCUGUUGUCCGCUGCUGAGCAGAAGAUCGAUGCCGUGUGUCUUCGACUGAACUGCAUACCUUUAGAGGAAUUAUCAUCAAUGUCCAACAAGAAAAAAAUAAGGAGAAUCCGCAUCCAGCUCAACUCGCAGAAGACUGACAAGAGCAGCAAUCAGAAGAAGGUUUAUAACAUGGAAGGUGAGAGAAACAACCAGACCCAAAUCGCUUCGCCACCCGAGGAGAUGUGAUGUUUCAUUAUAAUGUUCCAUAAUUCAUAACUAAUAUCCAGGAGCUUGCUGGACAACGUUGGAAAUGUUCCAACGCUGAAACAUUUCUGCACAAGUGCUUUUGUUUGAGCUUCAGAAGCUCGUCAAAGAGGUCAUUCGCUCUUGUUUUAACACAUUUGAAGUGGUCUCUAGUAGGAAUGAAGGCCUUUUAGGCCAGACUCGACAGGAAAAAAAGCUCCGGUGUGCGACAGAAUUUGGAGUUGCAAACAGCAACACAACUCUACCCCUGACUCUGGCCCUGUCCACACGUAGCCGGGGAUCUGCCAAAACGUAGAUAUUUUUCUACGUUUUGGCCUGUCAUCCACACGAAAACGGAGUUUUUUCACACGAAAACGGAUCUUUUUAAAAACUCCGGCCAAAGUGAAGAUCUGCGUUUUCUCCGUUUUGGGUGUCUGCGUGUGGACGGACAAAACCGGAGUUUUAAGGUCCACAACGUCACUUUCCACGACAAAAAAAUGCUGACAUCACGUGUGCGACCUGUGUUUACACUAGCCGACAUCAUGGAAGCCUUCAGAGCUGCGCUCGCUUUAUCAAUUGUCCAAGCGCUUUUUGCUUGAUUGUUUUUGCAAGCGGAAUUACUGCUCCUUGCGGAAGACCACAGACGAAGGACGACGUUAAGAACGGGGGAAGUACUGCCACCUACAGGUCUGGGAUGUCCUUAACAACGUAUUUAUCCGGGUACGUGUGGACAGA
rnacentral:lncRNA from 1 species